GAUUUCGAUCAUACCAGCACUAAUGCACCGGAUUCCAUCAGAACUCCGCAGUUAAGCGUGCUUGGGCUAGAGUAGUACUAGGAUGGGUGACCCCCUGGGAAGUCCUCGUGUUGCAACCC
rnacentral:rRNA from 1 species